UUGUGUUCUUUUUUCCGCCGUGUCGCCGGCUAUUGUAACACUUGUUUUACUUUAAUGAAUGCUUUUCCUUCGCUUCUUUCUCUUUUGUUUUGACUUUGCCCUCGCACGUUGGUGCAGAUUUGCGCUACUCGGCGUCUUCUGCCGACGUUGCCCGGGCCCUUCUUGAGCUUUGCCCUCGCUCCCCGCCGCGGGCCCCCUCUUCGCCGACGCGGG
rnacentral:lncRNA from 1 species